rnacentral:lncRNA from 1 species
ACCCAUGCUCAAGUAUCGAGUUCUGAACUCAGAUUAUAAGUAGAUAUGAUCUACUGCUCACAUGCAUGUAUGCUGAUUUUAUUUUCAGUAUUUUUUAAAUUUUAUAUACAAUAUAUCAUAUCAUAGAUCCUAGAGUAGAUUGAUUUGAUGAUUAGAUCAUAUGCAUGUUAGAUUAAUAUGAUUAAUCUAAUUAUCUUCUGCUGUAAUUUAUUCAAAAAAAUUUUGAAAUACAUGCAUGAAAUCGCCUAUAUUUUUCAACACUUAUGGGAUAUACUGAUUUCAGCUUUCAAUCAGAUCAUGAUGAUAGCAAGAGCAUG